AGUGAACGCUGGCGGUAUGCCUAACACAUGCAAGUCGAACGGCCGCACAGUAAGCGCUUUCUCUUACGGGUGGCGAGUGGCGGACGGGUGAGGCAUACAUCGGAAUCUACUUUUUCUUGGGGGAUAACGUAGGACAACUUCCGCUAAUACCUAAUACGACCUACGGCUGGAAUUAAUGGAUCUUCACACCUUGCGCGAUUGAUUGAGCCGAUGUCGGAUUAGCUAGUUGGCUGGGUAACGGCCUACCAAGGCAACGAUCCGUAGCCGGCCUGAGAGGAUGAUCGGCCACACUGGAACUGAGACACGGUCCAGACUCCUACGGGAGGCAGCAGUAGGGAAUAUUGGACAAUGGGCGCAAGCCUGACCCAGCCAUACCGCGUGGGUGAUGAAGGCCUUCGGGUCGUAAAGCCCUGUUGUUGGGAAAGAAAAGCAGCAGGAUAAUACCUCGCCGUCCUGACGGUACCCAAAGAAUAAGCACCGGCUAACUUCGUG
rnacentral:rRNA from 1 species